UCCACUGGAUCAACCUGAAUAGGUAAAUCCAGAAUCUAGUCAGGGAUUCUAGGUUUCAUAUAAAAGGUAGAGAAUCAGGGUGAAUCAACUUUUAUCGGGUUUUUCUUUCACUUUACUCUCAUUCGUUGAAAGCCGAUCGACACUCUCCGGUGAAAGUGAAAAUGUGAGGUGAGAUUUCUUUUGUCACACAUUUAACCGCUUUGCAUGGAAGACGAUCGCAGCCGAUAGCCAUCUGAAAACCGAUGUUGUAUUCAAGGGUUUGCCUCUUAGGUUUCUAUUUCACUGUGUAAGGUUUACACAUUUGGCUUAGACGAUCGGCUGCCGAGGGUAGUGCAAAAUCCAUCUGAAGUCAGCGGGUUGAAUAUGGUCUACAGAAUCACGUCCUAGUUGCUCUGAAAACGACCGAAGCCUCACCCUCUCUCAACUCUUCUUCCUCCUCCUCUUCUAAGAGCGACUGCAGAGGUCGGUUUUGAAAGAAGU